rnacentral:tRNA from 1 species
GCUUGCUUGGCGCAGUGGUAGCGCGUUGGUCUCAUAAUCCAGAGGUCGCGAGUUCGAAACCCGCAGCAGGCA